rnacentral:ncRNA from 2 species
CGCUCAUCAAGAGGGGUGGAGGGACCGGCCCUGUGAAGCCCCGGCAACCAGCGGCAACAUGCCGCCAGGUGCCAAGUCCGGCAGCCCCUGUGGGGCUGGAAGAUGAGAG